UAACCUAAUUUAUAUCUUCAUCUCUCCACACCCGACAUUCACCACUCAUCUUGUUCCAGCACAGAUAGAGAGAGAGCGAGAGAGAGAUUUCUUAGAAGAUGUUGUCAGAUUCAAAUAUGGGUCUACACCAACGAAUGCGAGAAACCCAUAUUCGACUUGGUCUAGUCAUGGUGAAGAUGAGACGAUUAAGAACGGAGAAGAAGAUUGGUUGACAAAAUUUCAGAAAUUGUAAAGAUGUGGUUUUUUGCGAUUUGAUCUGGUUUGGUAAGAUAUUAUGGAUCUAAGAGGAGUUGCAGCGGUGGUGACGUGAAGAAGAUCAGAGAUAAUUUCUACCCCUUAAUCCUGUGUUGACAACUCAGAUGCAGCUGAAGCAUGAGCAGAAGUAAAAGGGUGUUGAAGAGUCAUUACUUUAACGAAAAUGGAUAAGAGAGCCAGAAAAUGCUAGGCCACAAGGUUAGGUUUUUUGUUUUUAUAGUUAUACUGUGUUACUAAACAAUACCUUGAAACUCUUGGCUAGAGAGUCCGCUUCCUAUCAAUUUGACAUGGACACUAUUGAAGUCAGUAACCUGAAUAGGCAAUUUCUAUUCCGUCCUUCUCAUGUUGGGCACUCCAAGGCUAAGGUAUGCUCUUGCGUUUUCACUAAGUCCAAGGGAAUCCAGUUCAUAAGAGAGUUCAUGUGACCAUAUAGAAUCAAAGUUGUUAACCAAAGUGGUUUGGGUUUUUGGGUUUGUUAAAUCCAGUUUAGGAGGUAUAUGUGAGCGACCUAAGCUCAUUCUCCCUCGCUUCAAGGUAUAUUUUAGCUGAUUUCUCUCUGAUGGUGUCAUUAAGCAACCUGAGUUCAUUCUCCCUCGCCUUAAGUUCCUUAAGAGAUGCUUCCAUCAGCUCAGCUUCCUUUCUCCUUGUCUCGGUCUCUACGGUUUGCGUCUGGUCAAAAUCUUUAACAUUCAUCUCAAAAGCAAAACACUUCUCAUAUGGGGAAAGCAAAGCAACCUCCUUUUCCAUAGCUUCAAGCUCAGCCAUUAACCUUUGAUGUUUCUGCAUUUCCUCCAUGAUACCUCCAAUAUUUACUUUUUUUUUUAGUAGUACGAUGUAUUUUUAUUUUUAAUUAUGUUUUUAGUUUUAUUUUAUAAUACAG